GACGAACCGUGCGAACGUUGUUCGGAUUCACUGGGCUUAAAGGGCGCGUAGGCGGGCGGUCAAGUCAGGGGUGAAAUCUUUCGGCUCAACCGGAAAAGUGCCUUUGAUACUGGCCGUCUCGAGGGAGGUAGGGGCAUGCGGAACUUCCGGUGGAGCGGUGAAAUGCGUAGAUAUCGGAAGGAACGCCGGUGGCGAAAGCGGCGUGCUGGACCUCUUCUGACGCUGAGGCGCGAAAGCCAGGGGAGCGAACGGG
rnacentral:rRNA from 1 species